UUUUCCAUUAAGAGCCAUAAAAAGCUUUAAAUGUCUGUUUGAAUUAGUGUGAUCUUUAAGCUGAUUUCAAAGAUUCUAAAUAUGUGUGAAUUUUUCACUGAUACACAAUGUCUUUCAGAUGGCAUCAUAGAUAAAUUGAGGUGUCAGAUUUAGUGACCUGUAUGGUCACUCAGUGGAUCCUUAACUUAGCCAAUGUCAUAGGAACUGUCUAACUAUGUGUACACAGCUACAUCAUAAUGAGGAGGGCAGCAUCUAUCUGGAAAAACUUCAAUAACUUGGAGCCUUCAUCCUGCAGCAUGUGCAGAUACAAUUCUGCUAUUAAGUUCUUAUCAAUGAAAAAUUGUCCAAUAACCCUAUCACCCCAGAUUCCAAACUAUUACUUUGCUGGAAUUCUGGGUCUUUGAUAAAUCUAUCCAUUUAGAUUUUUAUGGUUUCAGUGUCUUUGGUUUGCUCAUUCGCUUUCUCAUUAACAUAAAAGUUUGCCUUGUCACUAAACAUGAUUUCACUUUCAAGUUGUGAAUCAUGGUCCAACAUUUGUAAGAUCCGCUGACAAAAUUGAGAUGUUUGUCAGGGCCAUCUUUAUAUAGCUUUUGUUGCAGCUGAAGUUUGUAUGGGUAUCACUCAUUUUUGUGCAGAAUCCUGAUAGCAGUAGUUUAACUAACACCAUAUUUCAUUGAUAGUCUUCUGAUGCUCUUCUGUCAACUUUUGUUACAGUGACUAUCACUCCUAUUAAUAUGUGGGAUCACAUACAGCACUAGGACAACCACUUCUGAAUGCUAACUGUUGCCCUAAAUUUUUGGAUAAUUUUUUCAGUUUGUUCAUUAAUUGGCUCUCUGUAUCAUCAUAAUUGAAUAUCUCUGACUUCAUAUGAAUCUCUACUGCCUGCCAACAGGAUCAUAAUUUUGUCAUGAAUUCAUAGUGACAUUAUCAGUUACCUGAAAAGACAUGACAUUAGUAUCUGCUGUCAUAACACUGAAAAACUAACUUUUCCAAUGCAUUUCUUGGGAAAUUUAGCCUAAAACGAUGCAUUUACUUGUAUUCAAGAAUCUUUGAUGGGAAGGGGUCAUAUCCCCUUCCCAUUUGAAGAUUCUUGGAGUCACAUGUGUCUGACAGAUACUGCCAUAGUGCCAAGAAGUUUCCUUCCAUCCAUCUAAGUGUUCUAUAAAAUUUCCAAAGUGUUGUUUUUUAUUCAUAAGAUAUUUGGAGUAGUCCUGAUUUUUCACUCAUCCUGUAGUUAUAUUUAAACAUAGAUGUUGAUUUUUCAUAGCAUGGAAAAGAUGCUGUCAUAUGCUAUGUAAUAUCAAUGAUCAGCAAUUUAUUGUAAUCUUAAAAUUUUUAAUUUUGUUUAAGCAUAUUUUUGAAUAUUAAAAAUAUUAAAAAUGUUAAUAUUUUCAGAGAGAAUUAGCUGAUGCUACUAACAAUUUGUCCAGACACUUAAGAAUAUAUGAAGACCAGUCUUUUCCUUUGGAUACAGAUCCAGACAGUGUUUUAAGAUCUACUUUAAGACAGAUUUCCAGUAUGUUAGAUGAAGUAAGUUCUUGGCAGCAAAUGUGUGCAACACAAAUGGCAGAUGGCAUGA
rnacentral:lncRNA from 1 species